rnacentral:tRNA from 1 species
GGGGCUGUGGUGGAAUGGCAGACACGCUAGAUUCAGGUUCUAGUGAGAAUUAAUCUCAUGUGAGUUCGACUCUCAUCAGCCCCACCA